rnacentral:rRNA from 1 species
CACGUGGAAAUCUACCCAGUAGCGGGGGAUAAUUCAGAGAAAUUUGAUCUAAUACCGCAUACGCCCUACGGGAGAAAGGCUUCGGCCACUAUUGGAUGAGUCCGCGUUAGAUUAGCUGGUUGGUGAGGUAAUGGCUCACCAAGGCGACGAUCUAUAGCUGGUCUGAGAGGAUGAUCAGCCACAUUGGGACUGAGACACGGCCCAGACUCCUACGGGAGGCAGCAGUCGGGAAUAUUGGACAAUGGGCGGAAGCCUGAUCCAGCAAUACCGCGUGUGUGAAGAAGGCCUGCGGGUUGUAAA